rnacentral:SRP_RNA from 14 species
AGGGGGGCAGCGGGCCCAGGCCGGCAUGCAGCAGAAAAAACGCGCCGCGCGGGUAGUUCUGCAGCAGCC